UUUUAGACUUGAGGAGAAACCAAAAUGGUGGCAUAAGUAAACACCAGAGAUUGCUGCCUCGCAUAACCACCUCAAAAAUACAACUAAGAGACAGAAC